rnacentral:rRNA from 1 species
AGUGAACGUUGGCGGCGUGGAUUAGGCAUGCAAGUCGAGCGAGAACCGUAGCAAUACGGGGACAGCGGCGAAAGGGACAGUAAUGUGUAGGUACCUACCCCGGGGUCUGGGAUAGCUGCGGGAAACUGCAGGUAAUACCGGAUAAUGUCUUCGGACCAAAGGUGUGAUUCCACCUUGGGAGGGGCCUGCAUCCUAUUAGCUUGUUGGCGGGGUAACGGCCCACCAAGGCAACGAUGGGUAGCGGGUGUGAGAGCACGACCCGCGUCAUUGGGACUGAGAUACUGCCCAGACACCUACGGGUGGCUGCAGUCGAGGAUCUUCGGCAAUGGGCGAAAGCCUGGCCGAGCGACGCCGCGUGCGGGAUGAAGGCCUUCGGGUUGUAAACCGCUGUCGUAGAGGAGGAAAUGCAGGGGGGUUCUCCCUUCUGUUUGACCUAUUCUAGGAGGAAGGACGGGCUAAGUUCGUGCCAGCCGCCGCAGUA